GAUGAACGCUCGCGAUAGGCUUAACACAUGCAAGUCGAGGGGCAGCAUGGUCUUAGCUUGCUAAGACUGAUGGCGACCGGCGCACGGGUGCGUAACGCGUAUGCAACUUGCCUCACAGAGGGGGAUAACCCGUCGAAAGACGGACUAAUACCGCGUACACUUGGGAUAGGGCAUCCUGACCCAAGGAAAUGAAAUUCGCUGUGAGAUAGGCAUGCGUCCCAUUAGCUAGUUGGUGAGGUAACGGCUCACCAAGGCGACGAUGGGUAGGGGAACUGAGAGGUUGAACCCCCACACUGGUACUGAGACACAGACCAGACUCCUACGGGGGGCAGCAGUGAGGAAGAUUGGUCAAUGGGCGAGAGCCUGAACCAGCCAAGUCGCGUGAAGGAGGACUGGCUUAUGGAUUGUAAACUUCUUUUAUACGGGAAUAACAAGAGCCACGUGUGGCUCCCUGCAUGUACCGUAUGAAUAAGCAUCGGCUAACUCCGUG
rnacentral:rRNA from 1 species